GGGGCCGACUGGUUUUGACAGCGGGUUUCAUUGUAUGGUAAGCAUGUCGAGCGCUGGGAUACAGCUCGUAAAUCUCAUAUUUCAACUUUUUUAAACGGCGAGAAUAACUACGCCCUAGCUGCAUAAUCCGAAUUAUAGUAGGAUAGUGCCUCGGCCCGCAAGGCGGGCAAGCAGGAAGUCACUCGAAAGCCUUGGUUUGCGGCAUUCGAUUUAGUGGCUUCGUAAAAGUAAACCUAGGGACCCUAGGGCUUUGAUGGGGUCUUGAAACUUAAGCGGAGCUAAGCUGUGCGCAGGUUGUUUUUCACCAGCAAUCGGACGAAAACCCUAAGAAAAACUAAGCAUGUAGAAAGCGGUGCAACGGCACGUUUGGACGAGGGUUCGAAUCCCUCCGGCUCCACGA
rnacentral:tmRNA from 1 species